CCCAUUGUGGGCCAAGGGAUCCUCUGCCUGGCAUCUCUGAGUCAUUUUGGAUAUGGGGUUUGUGAAGGACUCUGCUGACUCUCAGACACUGCUGUUAAAAAUGGAGAUAAACCUGCUGAAGAUAAUGUAACUCUAUUUCUAUAUAGCAGAUCUCUCUUGCAUGUUUCUUCAACACCCAUGAGAUCAUCUGCUGCCUGGUAAUGGGAAGCAGUUUAUUUUGAAGGAGCAUGAACUGACAGAUUUUUGUUCCCAUGAACUGUGUAAGAAAUUUAACAAACCAGAUGCAGAUGGAUCAAUACAGGCUGUUCUUUAUUUAUCACCCCUUGUCUUCCUCACUUUAUUUUUAUGGCUAUUAAAGAUGCUAUCAUUGAUAUACCA